CCUACGGGCGGCAGCAGUGGGGAAUAUUGCACAAUGGGGGAAACCCUGAUGCAGCGACGCCGCCUGAGUUCCUCCUUCCUUCUUUCUUUCCCUCUCUCUCCUCCUUUCCUCCCCUACCUGUACCUGAGUAAGAAGCCCCGGCUAACUACGUGCCAGCAGCCGCGGUAAUCCGUAGGUUGCCCUCGUUAUCCGUCUUUCCUUUUGGUAAAGUGAGCGUAGACGGCAGUGCAAGUCUGGAGUGAAAGGCGGGGGCUCAACCACCGGACUGCGCUGGAAAAUGUACGGCUGGAGUGCAGGAGAGGUAAGUGGAAUUCAUAGUGUAGAGGUGAAAGGAGUAGAGAUGAGGAGGAACACCAGUGGCGAAGGCGGCUUACUGGACUGUAACUGACGUUGAGGCUCGAAAGCGGGGGGAGAAAAAAGGAGGAGAGAAAAGGGGAGGC
rnacentral:rRNA from 1 species